rnacentral:rRNA from 1 species
ANCCUAAGAACGCUGGCGGUAGGCUUAACACAUGCAAGUCGAACGGAAACGAUGAGAAGCUUGCUUUUCAGGCGUCGAGUGGCGGACGGGUGAGUAACGCGUGGGAAUCUACCCUAUAGUUGGGGACAACGUAUGGAAACGUACGCUAAUACCGAAUACGCUCUACGGAGUAAAGGAGCCCUCUUCCUGAAAGGUUUCGCUAUAGGAUGAGCCCGCGUUAGAUUAGCUAGUUGGUAAGGUAAAGGCUUACCAAGGCCACGAUCUAUAGCUGGUUUGAGAGGAUGAUCAGCCACACUGGGACUGAGACACGGCCCAGACUCCUACGGGAGGCAGCAGUGGGGAAUAUUGCACAAUGGACGCAAGUCUGAUGCAGCCAUACCGCGUGUGUGAAGAAGGCCCGAGGGUUGUAAAGCACUUUCAAUAGGGAGGAAGAUUAGACAGUUAAUACCUGUUUAGUUUGACGUUACCUAUAGAAGAAGCACCGGCUAACUCUGUGCCAGCAGCCGCGGUAAUACAGAAGGUGCAAGCGUUAUUCGGAAUUACUGGGCGUUAAGCGCGCGUAGGCGGAUGAUUAAGUCAGUUGUGAAAGCCCCGGGCUCAACCUGGGAACUGCAUCUGAUACUGGUCAUCUAGAGUUUAAGAGAGGGAAGUGGAAUUCCAGGUGUAGCAGUGAAAUGCGUAGAUAUCUGGAGGAACAUCAGUGGCGAAGGCGACUUCCUGGCUUAAAACUGACGCUGAGUGCGAAAGCGUGGUAGCAACGGAUUAAAACCCGNAUCCNCNNAANANU